UGGUGCACUUACAGUAAAAAAAUCAGUCGCCUACUUCCACCCUGUUGUCUUGUCUUAAAUUUGAAAAAAAAGACAAUACAAGGUCCCGAUGGCUUAACCUGAACUAAAAGCUCCUAGCUUUACAGUAAUGCUGGAAACUGACUUGAAAAUUAUAAAUUGAUAAAUCAAUAUCUUUGUUGCAGGGAUCAGAAGAAUUGAGUCACAACGCUGGAUGGCGAGGCCUAAAGUAGAAAACAGUGAUGAAUAAUUUAAUACUUAUUGAAAGAAAUAUUUAUUUAAAAAUCACACAAAUUAAUAUUAAUACAAAUAUUAUUCAAAACCAAUUAUUAAAAUUUAUGAGAGAUAGUUCUUUUUUCAGGCCUGUCAAAACCAAACGUUGGCGUCGAGACAGCUUUGUUUACCGGAGAUGCGGGGUAUUCUUUUUUUGCUCGCGCAUGCGCGGAGGGCAGCGGGUGCAGUGUUGCCAGCGCUCGGUUGGCCCAAAAGUACCUAUGGUCGCGUCACUCUCCCACCUUGACCUUUUGAACUUUGCUAUAAGGUCAAUAUUAAUAAAAAAAAAACAAAGAAGGAAUUAUCUCAAAUCUAACAGAAUGUUUUAUGAUUAAAUUUUCUCUCAAACUUCACUUAAACCUAAUCGGUAACUUGACUUUUCUUCCAGAACGCGUGUAAACUUUCCCUACUUUUACUGGAGUAGUUUUCUCUUGCACUGACACGGAGUCCACACCGGGUGUUUUCUCCCUGACGAUCUCAUCCUCCGCUGGCUUAAGCUCCCCGUCGCCUUGCUCUACGUCCUCAGAUGGUACUUCAAGUGGGAACAAUCGUUGAACUGCACGCUUCAUGAAUCCAGACUUAGUCUUAACUUCCACAAGUCUUCGCACAUUGUCAGUUCCAGGAAACACCUUCGUAAUCUUUCCCAUAGGCCAGUUUAUUUGCUUCCUGUUUUCAACCCCCACAAGGACGAUAUCUCCAACUUUUAACUGUCGUUGUUUCUUGCGAUUGUCGUGAUGCACCAACAAUCCUAGGUACUUGCUUCUGAACCUCUUACGGAAUUCCUUCAGGAGUCGUUUGCGUUUCUCAUAGCUCUUCCCAAAGUUACACCUGAAUUCAUUUAGAUCAAUCUCUCCUUCGGCUCUUGGUUCUCGAAGAAACAUCUCUGGGGUUAAUGGCACAAGGUCAUCAUUGUCCUCAGCAAUGUAGGUGAGUGGUCGCGCGUUGAUAACUCGUUCACAGUUUUCGAGGAUCGUCACCAUUUCUUCGUAGUUGACAACACGUUUUCCCAGCAAUCUUCGAAGCAGCUUUUUGGUGAGUCCAACAAUUCUCUCGAUCCAACCUCCCCACCACGGUGCUGCCGGAGGAUUGAGCUUCCAUUUCACUCCAAAAUUAACUCGAUAAAGCUCGUUCCGGAGUCCAACUAGAUUCGUCCCAUUACUGAGUAGAUGACUGCAGGGCAACCUCGUCUUGGUACGAACCUCUCUACUGCUCCCACUAAUGCUUCCGUCGAUAAGGAAGUCACCAGUUCGAGGUGGACCGCACGGUAUACGCCACAGAUGAAGAUGACGAACCAAACCUUCUGUCCAUCUUCCAGAUAUAAAGGUUCUCCGAGGUCAAUUCUUGUCACCUCAAAAACCACAACAUCUCGUACGCGAUGUUGAGGCAACGAUGCUUCUGGUACGUCGACUCGCUUGGUUUCAAAUCGUCGACAGCGAGGACAUUUAUGAAUUACAUGACGAAAUAGUUGUCGAGCUUUUGGAAUCCAGAACUUCUCUCUUAGUACUGAUCGCAGCGUCUGGGCUCCACAGUGGUACAUUUUCUCGUGGACUGAUUUCACAAUUAGCUCUGUGACCGGAUGAUUCGUUGGGAUCAAAAUUGGCAAUCGGAACAGUUCAUCGUCAUUUCGAUUCACUAUCCUCGUUUUCACUCUCCAUAAUCCUUCUUUAUCUUGGAACGCGUGUAGCUGCUUCAUCUUGGGAUCUUCCUCACCGAUCGAUUCACUCUGUAUUAUCUUAACUAGGGACUUUUUAGCACUGUCUAGCUCCUCUUGUAAGAUGAUAUCUCCUUUGUAUUCAGAGGGCUUGAAACGUAGCAUCCACGCGAUUACUCUCAGUAUUUGUGUUAGAGUCACUUCACGUUUUCCCUCGUAUAGAUUCAGAUACCAUGGAUUCUCCUCGGGCUUUUUGGCUACAAAUCCAGCCACCACAGUCUUCCUCCUCUCUUCUUCAAUGGCUUCCAGAUCAUACUGUACUUUUGAUACUGGCCAGUCUUCUUUCUUUUCCUGAAGCCAUUUUGGUCUCUCCCACCAUCCGGAUUUUGUGAAUUUCGAUGGGGAUUCACCACGGGAUGGGAGAUCUGCUGGAUUGUGUUCCCCUGCGACAUGGUUCCAAUCUUCACUCUUCGUAAGUGUUGUGAUCUCCUUGACACGGUUGGAAACGAACUGAGCCCAAUUCUCUUGUUGUUGUAUCCAGUAUAGGGCAGGACUGGAGUCUGUCGAACAUUGAAUCUUCUCCGGACUUUCUUCUAAAUUUUCCAGAACAUGCACCAACAGUCGUGCUCCAAUCAAACAGGCUAAUAGUUCCAGUCGUUGAAUCGUGAUCCUCUUAAUAGUUGCCAGUCGAUUUCUUGCUUCAACAAAUCGCACUACUUUGACUGACGCAUUCUCUAUUCGCAUGAAGAUCACCGUUGCGUACGCUAUAGCUGAAGCGUCACAAAACACGUGCAAUGUUGUUCUUCCUUUGAUAGGUAAGAUCCAUCGAGGUAUCUUGAUCUGAUCCAAUUCUAAAGCUUGCUUCCUCCAUUUUAUGAACUCGACCCGUCUGUCUUCGUUCAGCUGUUCAUCCCAUGAUUUAUUCUCCUUCCAAGCAUCUUGAACCAUCUUCUUAAUCUUGAUUGUAGCUGGACAGGUAAAUUGAAUCGGAUCAAAAAUGCGAUGGCAGGCUGACAAGAUACUUCUCUUUGUGAUUGAUUUUUCUUCAUCUAUAUUUUUCAAUGACUGCACAUUAAUGGCAAUAGUGUCAGUCUGAAGGUGUCAUUUCAUACCCAAAAUAGAGUCUGGAUCUUGUUCUGUGAUUCCAGGUUCAUUCCACAUCCAGUCUCGUAACUCAAAUUUGGCUUGCAUCAUGAUGUCGGAGGAUUCCUUGAUAAACUUUUUGAAAUCAUGUGUAGAUGACAAACUAAGAAUGCAGUUGUCAACGUAAAAACUUCGGGCAAGAAGUUCUGCGCACCUAUUAUCUUGAAACUGCGGCAGGCUCAAAUGAUACUUAAUAGUUGCAGCUAGCAGAAAAGGACUUGAGGUAAGGCCAAAGACUACUCGGCAAUGCCUGUAAAAUUUUAGUGUCUUCUGGUCCUUUUUCCACCAAAGGAACCGAAGGAAUUCACGAUCUUCUUCUCGAACCUGAAUCUGAAGAAAAGCUUUUCGCAUGUCUGCAAUGAUGCCAUACUUUCCAAGUCUAAACCGCAAGAGCAAAUCAGGAAUGAGCUCAAUCAGGUUGUCUCCUUUUUCCAGACAAUGAUUUAAUUAUGGGAGCCCCUUUUUCUUGCAACUUGCGUCGAAUACUGGACGAAUAGGAGUGGUGUGACUAUCCUUGAGCACUGGGCGAUGAGGAAGAUAACUGCACUCCUCCCAUUUAUCCUCAACUUCCUCGAUGAAUCUCUCUUUUUCCCACUCCUCAAAAAUAGUAUCAUACUUCUCAUACAGCAUCUUGCCCUGGACAUUCCUUGUUGUAGUCAGCAAUCUAUUUUCUGUAGUUCGGCGAUUGACCGGAACUGGUGGAUGUCCAGCUACCCAUGGUAGUGACACGAUGUACCUUCCGCUUUCGUCUCGUUUCACAGUCUCCUUGAAAUGAGUGUUGGAGGCUUCGAAUAAAUCUUUCCUAGAUUUUGUUUCUGCUGCAUCCAUGAUGCCAAGCACAUAUAAUUUCCAUAAAUCCUGAACGUCGAAACUGUUAACGUGAAAUGAAGUCACGAUCAGGCAUGAAUCUUCCAUGUCUUUCCCUAUUGCUGGUCCCAUUACUGUCCACCCCAACUUGGUUUCUGUUGCCACAACUCCAUUUUGCAAUAUUUGCAUUCUGCCUGUCAGAAUGCUGCUAAGCAAGUCUGAACCAAUCAACAUGUGGAUUGAUAUCUCUUCACCUUGGCAUAUGUCAGUCAAGUUGAUCCCUCGAGCUUUUAACUCAUUGAGUAUAGUAUGAUCCUGUACUUGACUGAUGUGUCCGCAAAUUACUUCCUGAUCCAAGAAUUUGAGAUCAUCCAUGUAUUCGUUGUUGAGGCUGGAAACAUUUACUUUGUACACAUUGUGCUUCUUUUGACGAAUUUCUCCGCCUCCAAACAGAUUGUGGGUAAGUGUAACUUGCUGCACUCUCUUUAGGCCCAGUGCGUCCACCAUUCUCUUUGAAAUAUAGGACCGCUGGGAUCCACAGUCAAGCAACACUCGAACAUUAUGCUUCCCCUUUGGUCCGCUUAUCUUGACUAUCAGAGUUUGUAGAUAGACUCCUCCCACGGUAGCGUUUUUUAAAGUUUUGCUUUGUUGCAGGACUUUCCCUUGAAGCCUUUAGUUCCGCUUUUUGGAGAUGAGAAGUCUUCUGGGCUUCCAAAGUAGGACACAUAAUGGGGUAAUGCUUCCCUCCGCAGACAGGACAACGUGGCUUAAUCCGGCAUUUCUUGAAUCCGUGGCCAGGAAGCAGGCACCAAAAACAAACAUUCUUCCCUUUAGCCUUUCUUCUCUGGUAGAUGCAUCCGCUGUCCACUGUAGCAUUCUUGACUCGGGUGACCAUUCCCACAAAAUAUGCAGUUGUUUCGCAUCUGAGUGGUGUUGGCGAGGUCAGUAGCCGUCGGCAUUUUACUUCCAGUAUUCUUCUUAGAAAGAUAUUUCCUGUUUAAUCGAUCAUCCUUCGCAUCUUGAUUGUUGUCGAUCUUGAACGCUGCUUUGGCCAUAUUCACUCGACUCUCGCCCUUCACUUCUGUCUUCAAAAACGUCAUGAGUUGUGUCAACUUAUCCUGUACUCCUCUUCCGCUCACCGUAUAUUGACUUCGUUCCCAUACUCUAAGGGUGUCCUCUGGUAGCGCUGAUUCGACGAGUGGGUACAGCAUAGUCGCAAACUUGUCACGAGCGACGCCCAAUGUUUCUAAUGCUCGCAGUUGUGUCUCCAGUCUAUCGUAAAGCUUCACUACAGACAUCUUACCUUCGGCUCUCACAUUCUGAAGCACAUUCUGAAGCAGGUCACGUACAUAAAUCUCAACAAGCAUUUCAUCCUCUCCAAAACGUGAUUUGAUAUACUCGAUGACUUUAGGGUAGUUGUCGGCACUCGAUGGAAAACUUUCGACUGCUUCUCUUGCCUCGGAGUUCUCGGCGGUGGCUUGAAAGAGAUACUGAAACUUAGUUUCUGGAGGCAUCUGUGGAUCCCGGUCAAUCGUGCUGAACUGAAUCCAGAAUGUAAUCCAUUCUCUUGGUUCUCCCCCAAACUUCUUGAACUCCAGCUUCGGUAGUCGAUAGUUCAUUGCUGCUGUGCCGCUGAAUGUACUAACGUCAUCCUUUUCUGCAAGAGCCUCGUAAUCAGUCAUAAUGUUACUGAAAUUAUCUUCGUACUCACAAACGAAUUCGUACUCGGCAGUGAAAAUGUCUUCAGACGCUGAUUCUCGUAGCAGAGCUUCUUCCAUCCUCAUGUUCAAUAUUGAAAGCUUUUCAUGGUGGGUCUGAAGUCGGCGGAGGAUUUUCUCUACAUCUGCUUUCUUGACUUCCUUCUUCUUGAUCUUUGUUUCGAGCUCAUUGAACGCCUUGGUGAAUCUUGCACGCACUGGCGUCCUAAGCUUUUUCAGUUCAGCACUACUAACUGGUUGGUCAGCCAUCCUGAGAAGUAAUCACUGGUUCACAGUUGCACCUUUGUGUAAUCACUAAUUCUUCAAUCUGUAUCCUGUCGGCUGCGCCAAAAUGUUGUCUUGUCUUAAAUUUGAAAAAAAAAAGACAAUACAAGGUCCCGAUGGCUUAACCUGAACUAAAAGCUCCUAGCUUUACAGUAAUGCUGGAAACUGACUUGAAAAUUAUAAAUUGAUAAAUCAAUAUCUUUGUUGCAGUGAUCAGAAGAAUUGAGUCACAACGCUGGAUGGCGAGGCCUAAAGUAGAAAACAGUGAUGAAUAAUUUAAUUCUUAUUGAAAGAAAUAUUUAUUUAAAAAUCACACAAAUUAAUAUAUUAAUACAAAUAUUAUUUAAAACCAAUUAUUAAAAUUUAUGAGAGAUAGUUCUUUUUUCAGGCCUGUCAAAACCAAACGUUGGCGUCGAGACAGCUUUGUUUACCGGAGAUGCAGGGUAUUCUUUUUUUGCUCGCGCAUGCGCGGGGGGCAGCGGGUGCAGUGUUGCCAGCGCUCGGUUGGCCCAAAAGUACCUAUGGUCGCGUCACACCCAAUAUGAUUAUCAUGGCCUGUACCACGUGUACUAGGGAUAAUAAAAUAAAUCUACUGUCUUAAUCCUGAUAACACGCUCGUAGAAAUGUGAAGACAUGACAUUACCCUUACUGCUGAUGACGCCAAGGGCCAUCACAAAGACAGGAAAUCUCAUGUGUAUCACGACAGGAUUGUUCUUUAGAUUCAAAGAUCAUUCCUGUGUUUCAACUUUUGGUGCUCUUCGAAGUUAUUUUCAUCAAAUAAGAACCUCGGAUAAACACGUGAGUAAUAUUUUAGGUUAGGAUUGCAGAAACCGUUCCUUUUCUGUUAUCUUUCUUAUCUUCAAUCAGCAACUGGUAUUUCUUAAGGGCAUAGGACAUGAGACCAUGGGGUCUUCAUGGACAGCUACGACAAUUAAUAUAGGGCCCAUCGUCCUGAUGAUGGUCUUCAUGCCUUUCCCUGGAUCUCCAUAAAUCUACUCUUUGACAUUUUAGACAAAUUAUGCAGCUUUUAUCCGAUCCACGCGAGUUCUUCUUUCUUGCAUACGUUCCCUCAGUGUCAAUCUGCUUUUUGACAUGAUAAACAAUGUCUUUGGAAGCUCAAGAAAGUUUAGUAUCUUGUUGAGGAUCUCUCUGUCGAUGUGCAGAGCAACGAUGAUGGCUGAUUGAUAUCUUUAUUCCCGAUUCUUGUUCAUCAAUACACUUGUACUGUUACACUUUACAUGAAUGUGGCUAUUGACCAUUAUUCUAAUGAUACUCUUUAGAUGAAUAUACAUGUAUAUAUGGCUAUGGAUUUAACAAUAUAUAUAUUGUAACAAAGUAUUCAUUAAUAACGAGUUUACAAAGUGGGAAGAGGAGCUUCUUUUUAUUAGCAUGAACAUAAGCUUUCGGACACAUCGUCCUUCAUCAGAUAAGAGUAAUAAACGCGCUGAGGAUCCAUAUAUACACAAAGCUGAAAAGAAAAUUUACAUAACUGCAAAAGAUAAAAGUAUUUAAAGAUAAAAAUAAAAAUAAGAACCAAAUAUGCUAAAAAAGAGAUUAUAGGGAUUAAAUGCUAAUAAAUCUGGACUAAGUACAUAUGCACUAUGAAUGGUGUUAAUCAAGGGCAGGCAAAUGCUAUUCACAUAACAUAUGGUAUUGUUCUGGUAUAUCUAUAUGCCUGUUGAUGCUGUUUGUUUUUAUUGACACAAAUGCCUCUAGUAAAAGUCUUUGGUACUUAUUAUUGAUAUUGCUGUAUAGAAUGGAUGGCUUUGAUAGAUUGAAUGUAUGACCGGUUUGUAUAGAAUGACUGUAAAUAGGGGAAUUUAGGUUUUUAUUAGAGACGUUUCUGGAAUGCUCAACCAUUCUGAUGGCGACGGAUCUACCCGUCUCCCCGAUAUAAGUGGCAUUACAUUGGUCGCAAGAGACGGAAUAGACAGCACCACCAGAACGGAGAGCACUCGCAUGAAGGGAAGAUCUGGUAAUGGGGUGUCGGAUUAGUGUGGCGAUGUUAGGUGGGUUCUGGAAGUAUGUUGUAAUGCCAUGGUGCCUUAAAAACCUGGCUAUGGUGAUAGACUGGGGGCAAAAAGGAAGGGAGCAAAUAUUUCUGUGUAUAGCUGGAGCACUGUUGUGGUGAGGGUCAUGCAUGUGUUUAAGAAUGAAGGGGGUCGGGUAGCCGGAUUUGGAUAAAUAUGAAAAUAUUUUAGCCUUUUCUAUUGUUUGGAAUAACGGGAGGGAACAAUGAGUAAAGAUACGUUUAGUGAGAGCUCUAACUGUAUUGAUUUUGUGUGAUGUUGGGCAAUGUGAUCGGAAGUUUGUGUGGUGUGGGGGUGUGUUAUUUUUAUAGUAUACUGUGGUAUGGAAACUGCUGGGGGUGCGUAUGACUAGUGUAUCUAGGAAUGGUAGGACUGAGUGAUUUUCUGUUUCAUGGGUGAAGGCUAUGUCUGGGUGGAAGGAGUUGAGGUCAGAUAGGAUGUGAGAGGCAGAUACCUCACUUACCAAGCAAAAGGUAUCAUCGAUGUACCGCCUCCAUAGAAAGAUGUCUGAAGAAUGGCGUGAAGUGAUCCAUUGGUCUAGUGACCUCAUGACAACCUCAGCCACCACGGUUGAGAGUGAAUCAAAGGUUGCCAUUCCAAUAUCCGAUUUAUUUCUAAGUCCGUCAAGGGAUUGAUCUUUCUGGUCUCUCAGCUACUAACCAAUCCAGAAAUGGCCGAUCUGUUGCAAUCCAUCACAAGGGACAUUCGGCUCCAGAAGAACGAUAUAACGCAACGUCACAACUCCAAGCUUCAUCACUGGAUCAAGAAGUACAACUUCCCUGCCUAUCUAGUAGAAGCCCAUCUUCCCCAGUCACCCCAAGGAGUGGUCAACCUCUCGGACUAUGUCUUGCCAUCUGCUGAUGCUGAGAUUCUGGCAUUGGGCCUAAAAUACAGACUGCCUGGGCCUUCUGAUAUUCCUCGCAUCUUAGCUGGUGUGGAACCCGCUCUCAGAGGCCUUAACCACCAAGACACCCAUAGGAUCAGACAUUUUGUCACCUCCACCCUUCAACGACCCUACAAUAUCCCUAAACCGUCCCUAGCCAUGAACAGGGUUAUCUCCCGUCUUAAACGCAAUAGAGACAUAGUCAUAACAAAAUC
rnacentral:piRNA from 1 species